AGGGCUCCUUGGACCUUCGGGUGCACAAGAGCCACCUUCCGUGAAGUCCGCCGGAACCCCUACGAGGUCAUGCCUAGCCCCAGCCUGGAUGCCACUGGGCCAGUUCAUGCGGUUCCACUCUAUACCUUGGAUCCAAGAGCAACAGCGAAACACCUGCAUGAAAAGAGGACAGUGGGAUGAAGGGAGCCGACCUUGGGGAAACGCACCACGCUAAAGGUGUUCAUGACCCUGUCCGGGUACUCCUAUCGGAUCUUGGAGAUGAACAGGGUGCCCUUGCCCGAGCCGGUGCCUCCACCAAGGGAGGGGACCAGCUGGAAAUCCCUGCUGGCAGUUACAGCCCUCUGCCUCCUUGCGCAUCGCAUCCAAAACAGAGUCCCCCAGCUCCGCACCCUCCAUGUAGUGGCCCUUGGCCCGGUUGUUACCGGCACUACUCUGGCCUGUACAGACCCAGCACCUCGUUAGGACAAACACCCGAGGUGGCACAACCUGCGGCCAUGUGGAGCAAAUCUGCUUGUUCGUUCCCUAGCUGAAUACGUAUUAACUAUGCAAGAACUAACAACCCAAGUUUUAUGCAACAUGCACUCAAAGUGUUGUAGCCACCGACAGCUUAAAGGCCGAAGUAGCCAGAAAGAAGGAAACUCUCCCUUAAUUCCUCCUUUCCAUUCAAGAGAGAGGAGGACCCUCCUUGCCGCGGGGAGUAGCUCCGAGUCUCUUUCCUGUAUGGCGAGGAGAGAUGAGUGUGAGGGAAUGGCGAGAGGGACACUGGGAACCGGUUUUCUGCCCGACAGAAGAUUUUGUAGGUUGGCCUUUAAGGACUGGUUCGUGGCUAGUCGACGCGCAUCCCAUUACUGCUCAGCGGCAAAUACAUGGCUUGCAUUGACGUCACAUCAGCCGCCUUUGCUCCGGACCAUGCUCAGAUGCCGGUACCUUCUCCAGUACACAUUUCGAAACAUCGAAUUUAUUCUGCUCGGCGUGCCUUGCCGAGAAGAACAAAUUCGAUUUUGCGAAAUGUAUGCUGCAGAAGGUACGAGCACAAAAAGGGUACGAAGCGAUGUGGGCUGGCACGGUGCCAUAUGACGUCACGUGCCAUGCACGUAUAGGCCCGUUUCACUUAGCCAGUAGGCGCAGUCGCGUUUGUUUAGACAUAACCAUGUAAUGCUUGCACCUAGCAAAAAGCGGCACUGCAGCAUUUCCCAGUCUUUUUACAAGCGCAUUGCAUCGGUUUAUUGGCGAAAACCGAGUGUCUAAAAAAUGCUAAAAUAUUGUAACAAAAUAAAUGCAGCUCACACUCCCAAUGUCCAAUAAAAGUAAGUACUUUUCUA